CAGCCGCCGCGGUAAUACGAGGGGGGCAAGCGUUGUUCGGAAUUAUUGGGCGUAAAGGGUGCGUAGGCGGUUUGACAAGUCUUAUGUGAAAUCUCUGGGCUCAACCCAGAGUCUGCAUGGGAAACUGUCUGGCUUGAGUAUGGGAGAGGUGAGUGGAAUUUCCGGUGUAGCGGUGAAAUGCGUAGAUAUCGGAAGGAACACCUGUGGCGAAAGCGGCUCACUGGACCAUAACUGACGCUGAGGCACGAAAGCUAGGGGAGCAAACAGGAUUAGAUACCCGUGUAGUCCCUGUCUCUUAUAC
rnacentral:rRNA from 1 species